rnacentral:rRNA from 1 species
GUCGAGCGCUGUAGCAAUACAGAGCGGCAGACGGGUGAGUAACGCGUGGGAAUCUACCCAACCCUACGGAAUAACGCAUGGAAACGUGUGCUAAUACCGUAUACGCCCCUCUUUGGUGGACAUUGGGGGGGAAAGAUUUAUCGGGGGUGGAUGAGCCCGCGUUGGAUUAGCUAGUUGGUGGGGUAAAGGCCUACCAAGGCGACGAUCCAUAGCUGGUCUGAGAGGAUGAUCAGCCACAUUGGGACUGAGACACGGCCCAAACUCCUACGGGAGGCAGCAGUGGGGAAUAUUGGACAAUGGGCGCAAGCCUGAUCCAGCCAUGCCGCGUGAGUGAUGAAGGCCCUAGGGUUGUAAAGCUCUUUCACCGGUGAAGAUAAUGACGGUAACCGGAGAAGAAGCCC